AAUUGGGAAUAGUAAACAAAGCAAAAAUUAUUAAAGGGUCUGUUUUGUUUGAAUUGAGCUUAUGUUGAAGUUUUAUCCGAAUAAGAUUCUGUUUGGAAUUGCAGAAAAUCUGUAUUAUGUACGGUGAAAAAAAUGCGUUGUUUAUUAGCGUACUUAAUAUCAUAUUUGUUGUAGUGCAAUAAGUCAGUUAUGAUAUUUUUCUCAAUCCAAUUGAAAAACAAAGAAGCAUAGUGUUAUAUACUUUCGCCCCUAUUAGUAUUAGAUGAGUCUCGAUAUCUAACUGUUUUGAUUUGAUGGUCUGUGUUUGGGAUUAUGAAAAGAUUAUAUUAUACACAGUAAAAAAUAUCUCGUUUAUUUUCAUACACAAUAUCAGGUUCCGUUAUAAGUUGGUUAUGAUAUAUUUUCUAUAAUUAUAUUGAAAAUCGAAUAAGCAUAUCCUUAUAUUCUUUCGCUCUAAUUUAUUUUGCCUAGUAAUAUUAAAUUAGACUUAAUACCAAACU
rnacentral:lncRNA from 1 species